rnacentral:rRNA from 1 species
CAAUAGCGUAUAUUAACGUUGUUGCAGUUAAAAAGCUCGUAGUUGGCUUUCUGGAGGGAGCGUCGGCCCGUAUUUACGAGUGCGUGACGUCUCUGUCCAUCCUUGCGGGAAGGCACGGCAUUGAUUUGUUGUGUCGGAUCGCAUCAUUUACUGUGAAAAAAUUAGAGUGUUCAAAGCAGGCUUUCGCUUGAAUACAUUAGCAUGGAAUAAUAAGAUAGGACUUUGGUGCUAUUUUGUUGGUUGAGCCUAAAGUAAUGAUUAAUAGGGAUAGUUGGGGGCACCUGUAUUGCGUUGUCAGAGGUGAAAUUCUUGGAUUUACGCAAGACAAACAGCUGCGAAAGCGUCUGCCAAGGAUGUUUUCAUUAA